rnacentral:rRNA from 1 species
GCCAGACUCCUACGGGAGGCAGCAGUGGGGAAUUUUGGACAAUGGGCGCAAGCCUGAUCCAGCUAUUCCGCGUGUGGGAUGACGGCCCUCGGGUUGUAAACCACUUUAGUAGAGAACGAAAAGGAGCUAUCGAAUAAAUAGCUCUGCUGACGGUACUCUAAGAAUAAGCACCGGCUAACUACGUGCCAGCAGCCGCGGUAAUACGUAGGGUGCGAGCGUUAAUCGGAAUUACUGGGCGUAAAGCGCUCGUAGGCGGUAUGUCAAGUCAAGGGUGAAAUCCCCGCGCUCAACGUGGGAACUGCCUUUGAAACUGGCAAACUGGAGUGUGUGAGAGGAUAGUGGAAUUCCAGGUGUAGGAGUGAAAUCCGUAGAUAUCUGGAGGAACAUCAGUGGCGAAGGCGACUAUCUGGCACAUAACUGACGCUGAGGAGCGAAAGCGUGGGUAGCAAACAGGAUUAGAUACCCGCGUA